rnacentral:rRNA from 1 species
GAUGAACGCUGGCGGCGUGCCUCAAACAUGCAAGUCGAGCGGGGCUAUGUAAUAUCGCAAGGUAGAACAUAGCCUAGCGGCGAACGGGUGAGUAACACGUGGGUAACCUGCCUGGAAGACAGGGAUAACGAUUCGAAAGGGUCGCUAAUACCUGAUAAUAUCCUUUCAUCGCAUGGUGAUAGGAAGAAAGGGGAAACCCGCUUUCAGAUGGGCCCGCGUCCCAUCAGCUAGUUGGUAAGGUAAAGGCUUACCAAGGCGACGACGGGUAGCCGGUCUGAGAGGAUGUACGACCACACUGGGACUGAGAUACGGCCCAGACUCCUACGGGAGGCAGCAGUUGGGAAUCUUAGGCAAUGGACGAAAGUCUGACCUAGCGACGCCGCGUGAGGGGAAAAGGCCUUCGGGUUGUAAACCUCUGUCAUGGGGAAGAAGUAAGUGACGGUACCCAAGAGGAAGCCCCUGCUAACUACGUGCCAGCAGCCGCGGUAAAUACGUACUACUAUCGUAGGCGGCGGUCGUAC